rnacentral:rRNA from 1 species
UACGAAGGGUGCUAGCGUUGUUCGGAAUUACUGGGCGUAAAGCGCGCGUAGGCUGCCAUUCAAGUCAGGGGUGAAAUCCUUGGGCUCAACCCAAGAAUUGCCUUUGAAACUGUAUGGCUAGAGUGUCGGAGGGAUAGCGGAAUUCCUAAUGUAGAGGUGAAAUUCGUAGAUAUUAGGAGGAACACCGGUGGCGAAGGCGGCUAUCUGGACGACAACUGACGCUGAGGCGCGAAAGCGUGGGAGCGAACAGG